rnacentral:ncRNA from 1 species
AGAAAUGCUUAGAAGACGUUAGUAUGGAUCUGUUUUCCACAAGAGAGGGGGAAUCACUGGCUGAGAGUUUUCCCGGGUUCAGGCAUAUCCAGAGGUUCGCGUCGGAGCUUUUUCUCUGAACACUCACAGUAGGAGAAAACGUGUCUGCACGUUACAGCAGCAAUGAGGGUCCGUGGGAAGAUACCUGACAGAAGCAGGUUUGUUCGUGCGGGAAUCAGGGUGGUACCGCGAUUAUAUCUCGUCCCUGUC